rnacentral:rRNA from 1 species
UACGAAGGGGGCUAGCGUUGUUCGGAUUUACUGGGCGUAAAGCGCACGUAGGCGGCUUGUUAAGUCAGGGGUGAAAUCCUGGAGCUCAACUCCAGAACUGCCUUUGAUACUGGCGAUCUCGAGUCCGGGAGAGGUGAGUGGAACUGCGAGUGUAGAGGUGAAAUUCGUAGAUAUUCGCAAGAACACCAGUGGCGAAGGCGGCUCACUGGCCCGGUACUGACGCUGAGGUGCGAAAGCGUGGGGAGCAAACAGG